rnacentral:rRNA from 1 species
GACGAACGCUGGCGGCGUGCUUAACACAUGCAAGUCGAACGGAAAGGCCCUGCUUUUGUGGGGUGCUCGAGUGGCGAACGGGUGAGUAACACGUGAGUAACCUGCCCUUGACUUUGGGAUAACUUCAGGAAACUGGGGCUAAUACCGGAUAGGAGCUCCUGCUGCAUGGUGGGGGUUGGAAAGUUUCGGCGGUUGGGGAUGGACUCGCGGCUUAUCAGCUUGUUGGUGGGGUAGUGGCUUACCAAGGCUUUGACGGGUAGCCGGCCUGAGAGGGUGACCGGCCACAUUGGGACUGAGAUACGGCCCAGACUCCUACGGGAGGCAGCAGUGGGGAAUAUUGCACAAUGGGCGGAAGCCGGAUGCAGCAACGCCGCGUGCGGGAUGACGGCCUUCGGGUUGUAAACCGCUUUCGCCUGUGACGAAGCGUGAGUGACGGUAAUGGGUAAAGAGGCACCGGCUAACUACGUG